GGGUUACCUAGAGUGCGGGCUUUGCCUGCCAUCUCUUACCCAUGUCUUUUGAGUACCUUACGUUUCCUCGGCGGGUCCGCCCGCCGACUGGACAAUUUAAACCACUUGCAGUUGCAAUCAGCGUCUGAAAAAACUUAAUAGUUACAACUUUCAACAACGGAUCUCUUGGUUCUGGCAUCGAUGAAGAACGCAGCGAAAUGCGAUAAGUAGUGUGAAUUGCAGAAUUCAGUGAAUCAUCGAAUCUUUGAACGCACAUUGCGCCCCUUGGUAUUCCAUGGGGCAUGCCUGUUCGAGCGUCAUUUGUACCUUCAAGCCUUGCUUGGUGUUGGGUGUUUGUCUCGCCUCUGCGCGUAGACUCGCCUCAAAACAAUUGGCAGCCGGCGUAUUGAUUUCGGAGCGCAGUACAUCUCGCGCUUUGCACUCAGAACGACGACGUCCAAAAGUACAUUUUUACACUCUUGACCUCGGAUCAGGUAGGGAUACCCGCUGAACUUAAGCAUAUCAAAAGGCGGAGGA
rnacentral:rRNA from 1 species